UCCGUCAGGCUUUUUUUUUUUUUUUUUUUAAAUCGUUUUAACUUUUGUCUCCUCUCUCUGUUUCUUUUGUUCUUUUCUUUUUAGUGCCUUCUGCUCCCCGCGCUGAUGGAGAAGUGUCGCAGGAGGCCAUUACUGCCUGACCACGUGACCGCAGGUCCAGCUGGAGGGUGAGAGGACCAUGGAUUUGUGGGGGUCUGCCUUCCUGCUGGUUUACCAGUGACCUUCUCAACAGGAGGACCUUCACACCUGGACCACCAGGUGCUUUCUCUGGAACCCAGAACAAAGCAGAAGAUCCCUGUCAUGUAAACACAUGUAGGAAUGACAGAAGGCAAGGACACAGACCAGAGUGGAGGGCUGAAGAUGGCACCACAACGGCUACAUGCACACGUCACCACCAACUACAAAGCAGACAUACAAGCCCCUGUCU
ensembl:lncRNA